CUCCCAGCCAGAUGCUAAGUAAAACCUAAUAGCCAUGGGUAAGGGCCAGUUAAGGAGUUUAGAGCUGCUGUGGACUGAAGACAGACCCUUUUCAGAUUCUUUUUUUCAAUUAAGAUUAUGUGGGACACCAGGUUGCAUCAGACACUGGUGGAGAUUUCCAAACUUCUUAGCAAUCCGCCCAUCCGACGCUUCUGCCAGUGCAAACACUCCCGACGAUGGGGAGAAGAAACAGCCCUCUUUUUCUUUCAAAGUCAUCAAAUAUAAAGAUCUGUUAGGAUUUACAGACGACAGCUCUUACAAAGGGGCUCGCCAUGCCUGAGCUCCGCAGUCACAUUUUUCUUUCCCAGUUGUCUACUUCGUAGGUUUCUUCUUCCACCUGCCAAGAGAGGCAACCUGCUGUGUCUGCUUAUUUGCUGGAUCACUGCUGAUUUAAACUCUGCAAAUAGCAACAAAAAGCCGUUUUAAUGAGAUUUGAAAGUUCAGCUGUGAAAAUUGAAAGUCACCCAACAUCAGACCAUUCAGCCACCACCUGAGAACAUUGCACAGAAGUGUUCUUGUCACUCAGGGAGAUUGCGUUUCUGACCAGCUGGUUUACCGCAGUGGGAAGAAGGCACGGGGCGGCUAAGAAGUGAGUGUGUUGCCUUUGCUCACCCAGGGACACCUGGGAGAAUUCAGCAGCUCGUGUAUGCUGAGUGCUUGGCGUGAUACCCAGCAAGGAGCAGAUGCUCAAUCCAGGUCAGCUGGCCUCCCACACGCCCCUUCUCUUAACAAUUUAUUUAUUAUUUGACAGGCAAAGUGUAUGUGUGGGGGAGAGAGGGAGAGGGAAAGGGAGGGAGGGAGAGAGAGAGAAAGAAGGAGAGAGAGAGGGAGAGGGAGAGUGAGAGAGAUCGUCCAUCCACAGGUUCACUCCCCCAGGGGCCUCAACACUCAGGGCUGGGCCAGGCCAAAGCCAGGAGCCAGGAGGAAGUCCAUCUGGGUCUCCCAUGUGGGUGGCAGGGGCCCAAGGACUCGGGUCAUCAUCCACUGCCUCCCAGGCGUACUGGCAGGGAGCUGGAUCAGAAGUGGAGCAGUCUGGUCUUCCAAAGGCAGCACUCCAACAUGGGAUGCCAGCUUGGCAAUGGCCAUCUCAGCCCACUGAGCCACAACGUCAGCCCCUCCCCUGUUCUUACAGGGUGUGCAGGAGCAGGGUCGUCACGAUGCUCAGUGCUGUGCGGUAUGGACCUUGGGCCAUGAGUGCAUUCAUGUCUGAAUAAUUAAAGAAAUGCACCUAUCCACUCACCAAAAGAAGACCAUGACAAGAGCGUGCCACAGAUCAGGAGUUUAAUUAAUCUGAUUCUGUGUACUUGAGGCUAAUUAAAAACAAAAUCAUAAAUCUUUUAUUGUUUCAUUCAACCCCACGGGCCCUUGCUUGUCCUACUGAUACACAGUCAAGUAUCUCCUUCUUGAUGGCCUCCAUUUCUCAUGCCCAAAAUAUUCCUGUAUUUCAGGGCUGGCUCCGUGCCAACACCCUGUUGAUCAGGCCUGGUUGCAAGGGCAGGCAUCAGGGGAAGUGAAAGCUCUGUGAGUCAGCUACCUUGUCUGCAUGUCUGGGCCACACAGCAUUGCAGAUGAAGUUGCAUGUGACACAGGCCACGGGUGCUUGCCCACUCCGUGGCAAUGCCUGAGUUCCUGCCCAGGCCGCAUGGUGUUCUGCUCCCAGGCUCAAAUGUACAGUUCAGCAUCCAACACACUGUGUAUGGACACAAAUCUGUCAAGUUCAAGGACUCUCAGCUAGGGGCUCAAAGUCACAUGCCUGCCUACAAGUAGGCAAGCAGGAGACGCUCAGAGAAAUGCAACGCUCUGGGCACGGGGACACAGUAAGCAGCAGAUCCAGGGUUUCCGCCGUGCGGUCUGGCACCAAGCGCUCAUUGUGCCCAUCUUGAACUGCGUGAUUCUGGGUUCCGGCUCAGAGCCUCCAUUGCCGGCCAGAAAUCUCCUCUGGAAAAUAUCCAAACAGAAAUCUUUGUCCUACACUGUCAAUCAACUUGGUGAACACCUGCCCCCUGAUGGCUUCUGCCAGGCACCCGUGAUCCUUAUUUCCAACUUCAUUGCAAAAUGUGCAAGUACAAAGGAAGCAGAGAGAAGAGCAGAGGAACAGAACAUGGGUACGUGCAGAAAAACCCCAAGCUGACUUCUCAGAGCCCUUCCUCAGUGCACCUGCACAGAUGAAAUAUGAUGGCAGCAUCUCUUACUAGGAAGGACCGUGUGCCUUGGAGUCAGCUCUACAGCCCUGCUCAUCUGCCUCCUCCUCUGUAGACCAAGCAGGGAGGACCCAGAGGUCCAUAAGGUCUUCUUAGGAGGAAUGUGAGGGACCGCCCUGAGGGUCCCCCAGAUGGCCGCAAUGGCAGGAGCUGCGCCGAUCCGAAGCCAGGAGCCCGGAGCCUUCUCUGGGUCUCCCACGUGGGUGCAGGGGCCCAAGGACUUGGGCCAUCUUCUACUGCUUUCCCACGCCAUAGCAGAGAGCUGGAUCAGAAGUGGAGCAGCCGGGUCUUGAAGAUGGGAUGCCGGCAUUGCAGGCGGCGGCCUCACCUGCUACGCCACAACACUGGCCCCUGAAGUUAUCUUAAAAGCAGUGAUUGCUAAAAAUGACCAUCUUUGGGGUAAGAGUUGCUGCAGAAUUGAGUCUUGAUGAAGAGUUUGGAGUCUGAUUGAACCCCAGCUUUGCUAAUAUUAGCCAUGUGCUCCUUGGGACAGUUAUUAGCAUUUUUUGAACUUUGUUUUUUUUUUUUUCCAGUGCAAAAGGGCUGCUACAGAACUUAUUCCAUGGGCCUUGCAGGGCAGGGGUUUAAGUAGAUGAUGUGUGCAGUGGCGACCAGGAAGUCUGCGGAACAAGCAGUGAGAACUACUGAGUUUGGGGCCAAAGUGAUCACUACUCCUGGUGGGGAGGGGAACUUGCUCCUUCACAGAAACCGCACAGCAGGUUAGCAGUGAGGCUGCAGAGCGGCCCUGGCCUGCGCGCUCCAGGCGGCUUCCUCAUGACCGCGUCGUCCAGGAAGACAACCAUUUCACACGGAAGCUUGUGCGAAGACUCCGCGGUUCUCCUACGCGCGCUCCAAAGCCGGCUGCCAGAACUAGGUGUGGCCAAGCAGAGUCUCCCCAAGCUGGAGGGGAGGUGGCUGUGUACAAGAUAAAGUGUGAACCUCCUGCCUGGGGUCCCCUCUUCACCCCUCCCAAGCCAGGUACAUCCACAGGACGUCAUUCUCCCAACACGCGUGUUCCCGGGCUCUGCUGGAGCUGCCGCCUCUUCCCAGAAGAGUUUGCCCUGUGCCGCCUGGCAGCUUCCUUCCUGUCCACCAACACUCAGCCCAGGUGUCCGUCCUUACGAGUGAAGGAUCCCUCCAUUGUCCCGGGGCCCUGCUGAGUUACCAGGUGCCAUUGAGUGAAUGUGUCCCCCAAGGCUCACGUGUUGGAAACUUAACCCCUAAAGCACGGGUGUUGAGGGCUAGGACCCGGAUGAGGUGGUGAUUAUGUCGUGAGUGCUCUGCCCUUAUGAAUGGAUCCAUGUUGCUAUUGCUGGCGUGGGUUUGAUGUAGAAAGUGAGUUUAGCCCCAUCUUAUGCUUGCAUGCUCUCUCGUGCACGCUCUCUCUCACCCCCAUGAUGCCCUGUGCCACACCAAGAUGCAGCUAAUAGGUCCUUACCCAAUGUGGUACCUUCCUUUGGGACUGGGGAUAAAUUUCCAUUCAUUAUAAAUCUCCUAGUCUGUGGUAGCACAAAACUGAGCUAAGACAUCAAGCCUCCAGGUUUGCCACGGUGUUUCACGUUAUGGCCACUGUGACUUAGCUGUAGGACCUGGGAUAAAGGAAGUUCUUUCUUCCAGCAACUCCCAGCUGUAGUGGGUCAGAUCUUCCCAGAGCUAGACAUGGAUUGCUUUUUCACCACCUUCAAAACAGAGUCUGAACCUGAACCUGAACCAAAAGGCAUAGCCGUUCUUGUAAAGGGCAACUGACAAGGACAAUGCUAGCUUUCUCUGUUUUCCUUCCACUUAGCAACAAAAGCAAAUAAGGAAUGCAUAUCUGAAGUAGACCAUUACACAGAGCCAUUAGUUAUAUUUAUCUCCAUUCUUAUGGGGAUGCAUUUUUUUUCUUUGUCUUUGGAACCUCCAUGCCCAAGUCAGGGUGUGUUAGUUACCCUGUUCUGUGCCUCAUGAAUGCUCUGUGUCAGUUGCUCUGGGAGACACACUAGACUAUUCUGUGUGGGAGACACACUUGACUUUUCCACUGAAUUGAAAGCCAGUCACAUCACGUAGCCCUUUCCACCCUGGGGACGGUCACUGUGUGGGACUGUGGGGUGGGGGUGGGUGAGGAGGGUCCCACAGAGGUCUCUGCAGUUCUUUGGUCCCUGCAUCCCACCCUUCUCCUCUGGGCUCAGUUUCAGCGGCAGCCCCACCCCACCCCUUUCUGCCUGUUUGAGCUCCCACUUGCUUAGCCGGCAUGUCCCUCUCUGCUCCCCAAGCCCUGCAGCCACACGUAGGCUCCAUAAAACACACUCUCUUGAGUUCUCCUCCAGUGGUUUUGUGUUUGCAUUUCUUAUCUCCUCUAACAGACGCUGAGUUUCCAGACCGGGGCUUCUCGGCAGCUUUUCAACUCUUCAGAGCACUUAGCAGACUGCUGGGACCACACCUGACAAUCCAGCGUUCCUGGGCAGGGACAUUCUUCACGGCCGGCUGCUCCGCGUGUGGUCUGGGGCAGCAGCAGCGCUGGCUGGCGUCCCAUCCACCGGAGCUCUGGAGAAACGCAGCAAUGCAGGCCUUGCCCCAGCCCUGCUGGACGGGAAUCUGCAUCCCAUGACACCCUAGGUGACCCGCGGGCACAGCAAAGCUCGAGGAGCACUGCACUGGUGUUCCCAGCACCGACCACAUGGCCGAGGCACACCAGGGCCCGUCCUUCUGUGGAACACGUGCCUUGCUCCUCCUACUGCCUCGUGAGAAGAUUGAGCCAGAAGUCUGACUCCGUCCUCUCCAGCACAGGUGCAGCUCUUGGUGUCUUCUCUGUUUAUCCGCUUGCUUCUAGCUGAACAGAAGUGAGGAAGUCUUUGACCCACAAAAACUGUGGGAUGAAGUGCCCCUGCCCUCCACUUACAGGUUGAUGAGCUGAAAAAGCCAUUUGACAACCAGAGCGGUCUUCAUUCAUCCAUCCUAAGCCUUCAACCCAAAGAAAAGUCUGCCUCACUCUCAGCCAAUUAAACAUAGAAAAUCACACGCAGCAAAAGGAAUGCCAGGCUUUGCUUUCAACCCUAAUUCUUCCACUUAAGCAGAAGCCAACACAAGACUUCAAAGGGUCUUUAAAUGGGAACUCUUUAAAGGACUUUAAAAUUAUAUUUAUUCACAUCUUGAUAAGAGCCCAGGUAUCUUGAAAUUCAAGGGGGACUGAUGUUCGGUUGGAGUCGCUGCAUUUUAUGGGGAAUCCAAGAGAGAGCAGCUUUGGUGUGGAAUGACAGCAAACUGCCUGAUUCCCCGCCCCCCUUUCUGCAGCAGGAGCUAAGCAGUUAAGUGCUGCUGCUAGCGAUCCGGUUACUUCUUGGCUCCCUUGUCCUACCUGAGGGUUGAUUUACAGCGAUAAUUUUCUUUAGACAUUUUAAAAAGAAGUUGUUCAUAAAGGAAGAGAGAGAGAUUGGACAGUGUCUUCCUGAAUGUCACAGGCGGGUAAUAAUUAGGUCAUUUGCUUUCUGUUCAUUUUUCUAACUUCUCUGAUGGCUGGUGCGCUACCUUUCUUCCUGCUAUCAAUUAGUCGAACAAUUCAUAUCAAUAUUUUAUUUUUAAUGGUUGACUACUCAUUUCAUUAAAAAUGUAAGUGCAUUAGCUCCAUGUAGAAUGACUCCUUUGGGAUGAACCGAUUUAAAUAUUCAUAACAUAAAAAUUAAUAAAUCUGAGCAAUGUUUGCAUUUUAAAAAGUCAGGCUGCUGUCAGAUGUAUUUAUUCCCAGAUGAGAGCCACUAAAUUAAAAAGCUUGGGCAUCGUCUUUUUAUGGAUUCUUCUUCGCAACCAAACAAUGCAAUAGAAGUGCUAUGAGAAUUGCAUUGUGUUUCAAAAACCUCUUGGAAGAUGGAAUGAAAAAGACACAUUUAUUGGGGUCCAAAACAUUCUGGAACCCACACGUACAAGGAGUCUUCAAAAAAGCUCAUGGGAAAUGGAUACUAUGGAUUUAACAUUUUUUUCUAUGUCAUUUUUCCACGAAUUUUUGAAGUUGCCUCUUAUUACUAUUAAGUUACCUAUUGUUUCUGUCACCUUCACCUAAUCAUGAUUUGCUGGGGCCGGCGCUGUGGCCCUGGCAUUAAGCACCGGCAUCCCAUAUGGGCACCAGUUCAAGACCCAGCUGCUCCACUUCCGAUCCUGCUCUUUCAUCCAGCUCUCUGCUAUGGCCUGGGAUAGCAGUAGAGGAUGGCCCAAGUGCUUAGGCCCCUGCACCUACAUAGGAGACCCGGAAGAAGCUCCUGGUUCCUGGUUUCAGAUCAGCCAGCUCUGGCCAUUGCAGCCAUCUGGGGAGUAAACCAGCUGAUGGAAGACCUCUCUCUCUCCCUCUCUCUCUCUCUACCUCUCCUCUCUCUGUGUAACUCU